rnacentral:rRNA from 1 species
AUUGAACGCUGGCGGCAGGCCUAACACAUGCAAGUCGAGCGCGCGGCGCACGGGUGAGUAAUGUAUGGGGAUUGCCCCUUAGAGGGGGAUAACUACUGGAAACGGUGGCUAAUACCGCAUACCGCCGGAUAACCCAUAUGGGAUUAGCUAGUAGGUAAGGUAAGGGCUUACCUAGGCGACGAUCCCUAGCUGGUCUGAGAGGAUGAUCAGCCACGCUGGGAAUGGGACACGGGCCAGGCUCCUACGGAGGCAGCAGUGGGGAAUAUUGCACAAUGGGCACAAGCCUGAUGCAGCCAUGCCGCGUGUAUGAAGAAGGCCCUAGGGUUGUAGAGUACUUUCAGUCGGGAGGCGUUACCGGCAGAAGAAGCACCGGCUAACUCCGUGCCAGCAGCCGCGGUAAUAC